rnacentral:misc_RNA from 1 species
AGGUCUUGACAUACUCGUGCUAUUCCUAUCUCUAGGAAUAGCACGAGUAUGUCAAGACCUGGUAAGGUUCUUCGCGUUGCUUCGAAUUAAACCACAUGCUCCACCGCUUGUGCGGGCCCCCGUCAAUUCCUUUGAGUUUCAACCUUGCGGUCGUACUCCCCAGGCGGAGUGCUUAUUGCGUUAGCUGCGAUACAGAGAACUUAUAGCUCCCUACAUCUAGCACUCAUCGUUUACGGCGUGGACUAC